CUGAAUUGAGUCUGAACUCAGGAGGCUGAGUGAGUUCAGGAAGCUUCAAGCUCAGCAGGGCCAGCCCUGAAGAUGGCAACAGAGCUCGGUGCUUUGGUCCCCACAAGGAAACUAAGCCAUGGCUGACUGAAGGUGGACCGUUACCAAGGAGCUCGUGGCUUUAGUUGUUGUGCCUUCUCCAGAUGUCUUCAGCUAAGAAGGAAUAGGAGAAACAGGGCAGCCCACAGAGACCUGCUCCGAGGGCUUCCAUAACAAAAAUGCUGUACACUAGGGGUCUUAAGCAACCAAUGUUUGUUAUUCCGAUUCUGAAGACUUGAAGUCCACGGUCAGCAUGCUGAUACCAUGUGACCCAUGUCCUCGAGCUCUGCUGCUGUGCCUCCCCAACCACAAUGGAUGAUAACUUAAAACUAUAAGCAGCAGGAAAAGAAACCAAGACACCAUGUAUUGGAACCAUUGCGGUGGCUGUGGUAAAACACAUGACCAAACGUAACUUAGAGAAGGAAUUUACCAUCCCAGAGGGACAAGACUUCGUCAUGGCAGGUAAGCAUGGCAGCAAGAGACAGAACGUGGUGGUGUUGGGAACAGGAAGAUGGAAGCACAAAUCUUCAAGCCACAGGAGGAAAAAGCAAUAGUGAGCUCGCAGUGGAGCAAGGCAUUAAACUCACAAAGCUGCCCUCCAAUGAUGCAAUUCUUUCAGCAAUCUAAGCAACUGCCCAUCCCAGCCCCUCCCCCAACACUUAUUCACACAGCGCCACCAACUGAUAACCAAGUAUUAAAAUAUCUGAACCUAAGUUGGGCAUUCUCAUUCAAAUGAUCAUGCCCAAAUAAUAUGUAAAUUUAAUGCAAUACCACUAAAUGUUGACACCCAAGAAGGUGUCUUUUUUUAGUUCUUAUUCUAGUGUACAAACAUUCUCUGCCCUACCUCCUGAAUUUAUAAGGAAAUGCAAAGGUGCGAACAAUCAAUUUGGAGGAUGAAUAAAGUUGAAGUGAUUACAGCA